UAGGGAAUCUUCGGCAAUGGGCGAAAGCCUGACCGAGCGACGCCGCGUGGGGGAUGAAGGCCUUCGGGUCGUAAACCCCUGUCCUUGGGGACGAAGUGCUGACGGUACCCAAGGAGGAAGCCCCGGCUAACUACGUGCCAGCAGCCGCGGUAAAACGUAGGGGCGAGCGUUGUCCGGAAUCACUGGGCGUAAAGGGUGCGUAGGCGGCCGCUUAAGUCCUGUGUGAAAGGCUCCGGCUUAACCGGAGACGGCCAUGGGAAACUGGGCGGCUUGAGUGCCGGAGAGGGUGGCGGAAUUCCCGGUGUAGCGGUGAAAUGCGUAGAGAUCGGGAGGAACACCAGUGGCGAAGGCGGCCACCUGGACGGUAACUGACGCUGAGGCACGACAGCUGGGGGGAGCAAACAGGAUUAGAUACC
rnacentral:rRNA from 1 species